GGAAUAGGACCCUGUCCUCCUAUUUUCAGUUGGUUUUGGCAGCGCGAGGACUAGGGUAAUGAUUAAUAGGGAUAGUUGGGGGCAUUAAUAUUUAAUUGUCAGAGGUGAAAUUCUUGGAUUUAUGAAAGAUUAACUUCUGCGAAAGCAUCUGCCAAGGAUGUUUUCAUUAAUCAAGAACGAAAGUUAGGGGAUCGAAGACGAUCAGAUACCGUCGUAGUCUUAACCAUAAACGAUGCCGACCAGCGAUUAGGAGACGUUGAAUACAAAACACCACCAUCGGCGCGGUCGUCCUUGGCGUGUCUCGGCUUCACGGCCGGGGCGCGCGAGGGCGGUUUAGCCCGGUGGCACCGGUGAAUG
rnacentral:rRNA from 1 species